rnacentral:rRNA from 1 species
UACAGAGGGUUCAAGCGUUAAUCGGAAUUACUGGGCGUAAAGCGUGCGUAGACGGUUACAUAAGUCGGGUGUGAAAGCCCCGGGCUCAACCUGGGAAUUGCAUUCGAGACUGCGUAGCUAGGGUGCGGAAGAGGGAAGCGGAAUUUCCGGUGUAGCGGUGAAAUGCGUAGAUAUCGGAAGGAACACCAGUGGCGAAAGCGGCUUCCUGGUCCAGCACCGACGUUCAGGCACGAAAGCGUGGGGAGCAAACAGG